rnacentral:rRNA from 1 species
GACGAACGCUGGCGGCGUGCUUAACACAUGCAAGUCGAACGGUAAGGCCCUUCGGGGUACACGAGUGGCGAACGGGUGAGUAACACGUGGGUGAUCUGCCCUGCGCUUCGGGAUAAGCCUGGGAAACUGGGUCUAAUACCGGAUAGGACCACUGCAUGCAUGGGUGGUGGUGGAAAGCUUUUGCGGUGUGGGAUGGGCCCGCGGCCUAUCAGCUUGUUGGUGGGGUGAUGGACUACCAAGGCGACGACGGGUAGCCGGCCUGAGAGGGUGACCGGCCACACUGGGACUGAGAUACGGCCCAGACUCCUACGGGAGGCAGCAGUGGGGAAUAUCGCACAAUGGGCGCAAGCCUGAUGCAGCGACGCCGCGUGAGGGAUGACGGCCUUCGGGUUGUAAACCUCUUUCAGCACCGACGAAGCGCAAGUGGCGGUAGGUGCAGAAGAAGGACCGGCCAACUACGUGCCAGCAGCCGCGGUAAUAC